rnacentral:sRNA from 1 species
UGUUUAAGUUGUUCUU